rnacentral:misc_RNA from 1 species
UUUCCGUAGGUGAACCUGCGGAAGGAUCAUUAAUGAGUUGGCAUGGGUUUCGAUGCUGGCAGCCAGUUUUUGGAUGCAUGUGCUUGCCGUAACAAUCAUCUUCUUCCAAACACCUGUGCACAUUUUUGAGGGUGUCUUGGGUUGGUUGCCGCUCUUGGGUGAUUUUCUCACAUUCCCUUAAAUCAUUAUACGCUAUUAACGAUGUUGAACGUGCUCUGUGCCGCAAGGCCAUUAAUAUAAUACAACUUUUAACAACGGAUCUCUUGGCUCUC